CGUGGGCUAUCUACUAUUGCCUCCCUUACGGCCUGGUCCAUCUGGCGUCAUCGCAAUGUGGUCAUCUUCGACAAAAUUACGCCCUCCUCCGCCUCCCUCCUGAUGACGAUCAAGGACGACGCCCGCUCCUGGGCCUUUGCAGGAGUCGAAGGGCUCAACAGCAUUAUCCCUGUAAUGUACCCUAGGUUGUCUGGGUUGAACAACCCAUCUCAUUCUCUCUUUGUAUCGUGUGCACACCUUGUAGUGUACGUGACCAUGAUGCCACUCUGUAUGUUCUAA
rnacentral:rRNA from 1 species